ensembl:snRNA U6 U6 spliceosomal RNA
GCGCUUGCUUUGACAGCACAUGUACUAAAAUUGGAAUGAUAUAAAUAAGAUUAAUACGGUCCCUGCGCAAGGAUGAUACACAAAUCCAUGAAGCCUUCCAUAUGUUU